rnacentral:rRNA from 1 species
CUACGGGAGGCACCAGGCGAGAAAACUUUGCAAUGUGCGAAAGCACGACAAGGUUAAUCCGAGUGGUCUCUGCUAAAGGGACCUUUUGACAGUCCUAGAAACACUGUUGAAUAAGGGGUGGGCAAGUUCUGGUGUCAGCCGCCGCGGUAAAACCAGCACCUCAAGUGGUCAGGAUGAUUAUUGGGCCUAAAGCAUCCGUAGCCCGCUUUGCCAGUUUUCGGUUAAAUCCAUAUGCUCAACAUAUGGGCUGCCGGGAAUACUACAAAGCUAGGGAGUGGGAGAGGUAGACGGUACUCGGUAGGAAGGGGUAAAAUCCUUUGAUCUAUUGAUGACCACCUGUGGCGAAGGCGGUCUACCAGAACACGUCCGACGGUGAGGGAUGAAAGCUGGGGGAGCAAACCGGAUUAGAUACCCUAGUAGUC